rnacentral:rRNA from 1 species
UUCAUCGGCAUUCAGCUCAUAGCGUAUAUUAAAGUUGUUGCAGUUAAAAAGCUCGUAGUUGAAUUUCGGGGUUCUACCGUUGGUCGGGCAAUAGUCUGUACUGGCGUGUAGAAUUUCUACCUUCUGGGGAACCAUCAUGUUAUUUAUUUAGCGUGGUGGGAAACCAGGACCUUUACCUUGAAAAAAUUAGAGUGUUUAAAGCAGGCAAU